UACGGAGGGAGCUAGCGUUGUUCGGAAUUACUGGGCGUAAAGCGCGCGUAGGCGGCUUUGUAAGUUAGAGGUGAAAGCCCGGAGCUCAACUCCGGAACUGCCUUUAAAACUGCAUCGCUUGAAUCCAGGAGAGGUGAGUGGAAUUCCCAGUGUAGCGGUGAAAUGCGUAGAUAUUGGGAGGAACACCAGUGGCGAAGGCGGCUCACUGGACCGGAACUGACGCUGAUGAGCGAAAGCUAGGGGGAGCAAACGGGG
rnacentral:rRNA from 1 species